rnacentral:lncRNA from 1 species
AGAGCUGGAAAGGGCUCGCAGAGAUGAUAUAAUGUCGUGGAUUUCAACUUUUCGGGGCCAUAGACACUUUUCAGAAAUUGAUAAAACGUUGACACACCUUGUAAAAAAUGAACACAUUAAAAUUAAGCCUGCAGUUUGAGGUAAUGGAGAAGCACUGGAGAUUUGUAAGCCACGGAGUCAAAUGGUGGACUGGGAUUUUCAGGAGAUCAUUUAGAGAGCAAGAUCUUACCAAAUCCUUUAGUCAUGGUCUAUUUCGUUGCACUCAUAUGGUUGUUACUGCGAAGGUGAAGAACUAAUGACUGCAGCAGGAAAAAGAAUUGGAUGUGUCAUGAAUUAUGGCCCUGCUUAUACUUCUACUUCAACCGUAAUCAUUUGUUUAAACAAAAAGUUCUGCAUUUGAAUUGUCACAAUUGUGUGUGUGUUAUAAACAUCUCAUAUUUCAUCCAGGCUCAGCCAACACUUGCCUUUAUUAAUGCUCAUAAUCAAGAAAUAAAAUCUCAUACUAACCAAA